AUGAGCUUCUCCCAGGCAGAUGAGCCACAAGAUGCUUGGGGUGAACACUCACCUGACAUUCAAGAGAAUGCAUUUUCUGUGCUGAGACCUUCAAGUUCCAAGCAAGAAAGAACACAGCCUCAUUUCAGAGAGAGCUUCUCUCAUGCAGACCGCCAGCUGGAAACUUGGGAAGAACACCCAUCUAUCACUCAAGAGAACAUGUUCUCUGUCCUAAGACUCUCUCAAGACCAAAGACCAUCAACCACACAACACGAAAGAAUGCAAACUGUUCCUGUGAGCUUGUCCAAUGAAAAUGAGCAAGAGGAUGCUUGGGGUGAACACCCAUCUAACUUUCAAGAGAACACAAUCUCUGAACAGAGACCCUCAAGUACCUACCAGGCAAGAACAAAUAGUAAGUCAUUUGUAUUUUUUUUGCCUGUUGACAGCAACGUUGCCCAAAAAUUUGCCCUGUGUAUCAUCAGCCUAAGGUUUUAA
ensembl:lncRNA